UACGUAGGUGGCUAGCGUUGUCCGGAUUUACUGGGCGUAAAGAGCGCGCAGGCGGUCGUUUCAAGUCGAGUGUGAAAGCCCCCGGCUCAACUGGGGAGGGUCACGCGAUACUGAUCGACUCGAAGGCAGGAGAGGGUAGUGGAAUUCCCGGUGUAGUGGUGAAAUGCGUAGAUAUCGGGAGGAACACCAGUGGCGAAGGCGACUACCUGGCCUGUUUCUUGACGCUGAGGCGCGAAAGCUAGGGGAGCAAACGGGG
rnacentral:rRNA from 1 species